GGUUAAGCGACUAAGCGUACACGGUGGAUGCCCUGGCAGUCAGAGGCGAUGAAGGACGUGCUAAUCUGCGAUAAGCGUCGGUAAGGUGAUAUGAACCGUUAUAACCGGCGAUUUCCGAAUGGGGAAACCCAGUGUGAUUCGUCACACUAUCAUUAACUGAAUCCAUAGGUUAAUGAGGCGAACCGGGGGA
rnacentral:rRNA from 2 species